UUGGCCAGGAAGCCUUUGCCGUCCUCAGUGUCGGCUUGCAGCGCCUCCGCCUUGUCGAAGUUGCCGCCACCCGGCAGCGGCUGCGGCGCGAACUUGCGGGCGGCCGCCGCCUCCUGGUGCUGGGGAGACGCAGAGAAGCCUCCAGGCAGCGUAGCCAUGAGCGUGGAGGGCAGAUCUGAUACGUGGAAAAAGUGACAUGCUGCUUCAGAGUCAAGUCUGCAACUUGGGGCUGAGACCCCAACACAGUCCUAACCCUGAAUGAGGCAUUUCACCUGGCUGAAACCCAGGUGGGAGAACCUCAUGGGCCUGGGUCACGUGCCCGGUGUCUUUUGUAGGAGUGUGGUGUGGACUGAAUGUCAGAUAUUUGCGGACGUGUCAAGUGCUUUCAUUCAAGUAAUGACUAAGGGCUUCACCGGCGGAGGGCCAGGUUGCUGUUCGCAACAAGGAUACCCUUCAGAAGAACGAGGACACCGGCCCACCCUCUGGAGGGCUGCAGGUGCCCUUUUUCAUUUUUAAUGAAGAGCUUCUAAUUGGCCAAACCUUGGCACUUCCUUCGAGCAGGUAAUGAUGUAACUUGCAGACCACAGGCAUGAGAGAAACAACACAAACAAUUGACUGAGGCAGAUCUAGCCGGCGCACACUGGGCAGUCAUCAAAAAUGAAGGUGUGGGAGCCUGUUUAAUGACACGGAAAGCUAUUUGCAGUGGUUAUGUGAAAAGAUGAGGUACAAAACAGCACUGAGCAGUCUUGUGUGUGUGUGUUUUGUUUUGUUUUUUGUGUUUUAAAGCAGAGAUGUAUAGGCAUCGAUAGCAAGCAAGCCUGGAAGUAGGCUGAUGUGUAUUUACCUAUGGCUGAUGG